UGGAGUCACUGUAUGUACUUACGUAUGUAUAUACAUAUGUAUUAUGCAUGUAUGUACAUAUGUAUGUAUGUAUGUAAUUUCUAAGCAUAA
rnacentral:miRNA from 1 species